GCACAUAGAGAAGCAGCAUAGAGAUACGCAGAGGGAAGUACUUGGAGCAGAAGCAGUAUGGAGAAGGAAGCAUUGAAGAAGCAUCGGCAGAACGGGCUCCCUUGACCAGCAGACUGGACCCUUUGCGGAGACCAUGGUAGAAAAUGAAAUGUCGACUGAAUAAUUCCAAAGGCUGGCAUAUCAAUGAACUGUAUUGGAAGAAAUCUAUGCUUUUUAAAAACGUUCUUGGUGUCCCAAGAUCAUGGAUUGUUAUAAAAAAAACUCCUCGGAAAUUUAUUUGCAACGUCUGCCCAGCAGAGGGUACCAUUUUACUACAAACUUUCACUAUCUGGUGUCUUCUCACCCAGUGAAGAUGGGCAAAGAAAUCGUCUUUUUUUCCAAUCCUCAUGGACUUCUGUAUUCCAAAAAUUCUCAACAAAUAAUAAAGGCUCUGCUCUAA